rnacentral:rRNA from 1 species
UACGUAGGGGGCAAGCGUUAUCCGGAAUUACUGGGUGUAAAGGGAGCGUAGACGGUAAUGCAAGUCUGGAGUGAAAGCCCGGGGCCCAACCCCGGGACUGCUCUUGGAACUGCGUGGCUGGAGUGCAGGAGGGGCAGGCGGAAUUCCUGGUGUAGCGGUGAAAUGCGUAGAUAUCAGGAGGAACACCGGCGGCGAAGGCGGCUUACUGGACUGUAACUGACGUUGAGGCUCGAAGGCGUGGGGAGCAAACAGG